AUGGUAGAUUUUAAUUAUGAGAUUUUAAGGUAAUUGCUUCUCUCAUUCAAGUAGCCUAUCCAUCUCUUCUAAGAUGUCUGUCCUUAUUUAUUCCCCAGGUCCUACGUCACUUUUGAUUAUCUUCGCCUUGAUCCGUUUUCUUUGAAUAUUAUUGUCUGUCUUCUCCGAUUCGAGGAUUCACGUAACAUCAAGAAGAACGGUGUGAGGAUAUCACUCUCCUGCUUCUAGAUGAGAAGCUUGAGAGUUGAAGAAAUAGAGGCUUUCCCACGUGUUGAGACAAUGGGAGUAAUUCAGCAGAAAUAUCAGGUCUUAAUUGCAGACCUUCAGACGUAUCUCUCAAAGUCAAACUACCAUGUUUCCAUAACUCUAUUAUCCUAUCAUGUGAAAACUAUUUACAAAUUAAACUAUUCCCAGCUAAUGUUCUCUCCAUUGUCUCCGUAGAGACUCAUGCAGUUGCUUUUACAUGUUGAAUCAUGUCAUGAUGGAGUAGAUGUCGGAUGGUCAAAUUUAUCGGAUAUGAACGUUCACGAGGGAAAGCUUCUUGGUUGCUCAUAUAAUCCAAAUUGUGUAGACCUCUCGCGUACUGAGUCUAUGAGUGGAGGUGCCACUCAGAACGGUCCUAAUCAGUGAGCAAGCAGUUGAAUCCAGAGCCGAACGUGUCGUUAUUGGAAGAACUAUGCCAUAUUCGUUGCAGUCCAAGGCGGCUAAUUCUCGGAGGCUGUCUAGCAUCAGAAAUGAGCCGGAUCUACUAACUGAUUCGCUUCUUGAAAGAUCUCAGUCUCAGCCGACAGAACCAAGCAAUUUAGAAGACGGAAUUACAUUUAUAAGCUCUGAUCGUCCGUGCGUUGCAAGUGGUCCUUCAUUUCUUACACCGGUUGCAGCAGGAAGUUGAACAAAUUGGGGGCAACCAAUGAGGUACUGCAGGAAGAAUCAGAUGGAAAUACACAUCUACGGAAGAUGUCAAAUGCAGUAACAACUUUGAAUUAUGAGUUUCGUACCAUUGGGGGAUGGGCCAUUACACUGUACUAUUUUUACAGCCCAAACAAUAAAAAGACCAAGAAGAAAGUCCACACACGAACAGCAAAUUAGAAGUCAAUUCCUACUCUCUCCGGAAACAAAACAAAGAAUAAAAUUCCUGGACACUGUAUUUUGCAACGACCGUCUAUCUUUGCAAACAAAAAAAAUCUGAAUUGAUCCACUGUAUGGCAAAAGCACAACAAAGUAUUAUUUUCGUGACUAAUGACACCUCUUACAUCUCAA